rnacentral:rRNA from 1 species
GACGAACGCUGGCGGCGUGCUUAACACAUGCAAGUCGAACGGUAAGGCUCCAGCUUGCUGGGGUACACGAGUGGCGAACGGGUGAGUAACACGUGGGUGACCUGCCCUGCACUUCGGGAUAAGCCUGGGAAACUGGGUCUAAUACCGGAUAGGACCGCACCGUGAGGGUGUGGUGGAAAGUUUUUUCGGUGUGGGAUGGGCCCGCGGCCUAUCAGCUUGUUGGUGGGGUAAUGGCCUACCAAGGCGGCGACGGGUAGCCGGCCUGAGAGGGUGGACGGCCACAUUGGGACUGAGACACGGCCCAGACUCCUACGGGAGGCAGCAGUGGGGAAUAUUGCACAAUGGGCGGGAGCCUGAUGCAGCGACGCCGCGUGGGGGAUGACGGCCUUCGGGUUGUAAACUCCUUUCACCAUCGACGAAGGGUUUCUGACGGUAGAUGGAGAAGAAGCACCGGCUAACUACGUG